rnacentral:rRNA from 1 species
GGAUCCAGACUUUGAUUCUGGCUCAGGAUGAACGCUAGCUACAGGCUUAACACAUGCAAGUCGAGGGGAAACGAUAGAGAAAGCUUGCUUUCUCUAGGCGUCGACCGGCGCACGGGUGAGUAACGCGUAUCCAACCUGCCCGUCACUUGGGGAUAACCUUGCGAAAGUAAGACUAAUACCCAAUGACGUCCAUAGAAGACAUCUGAAAUGGAUUAAAGAUUUAUCGGUGAUGGAUGGGGAUGCGUCUGAUUAGCUUGUUGGCGGGGUAACGGCCCACCAAGGCGACGAUCAGUAGGGGUUCUGAGAGGAAGGUCCCCCACAUUGGAACUGAGACACGGUCCAAACUCCUACGGGAGGCAGCAGUGAGGAAUAUUGGUCAAUGGGCGAGAGCCUGAACCAGCCAAGUAGCGUGCAGGAUGACGGCCCUAUGGGUUGUAAACUGCUUUUAUAAGGGAAUAAAGUGAGUCUCGUGAGACUUUUUGCAUGUACCUUAUGAAUAAGGACCGGCUAAUUCCGUGCCAGCAGCCGCGGUAAUACGGAAGGUCCGGGCGUUAUCCGGAUUUAUUGGGUUUAAAGGGAGCGUAGGCCGGAGAUUAAGCGUGUUGUGAAAUGUAGAUGCUCAACGUCUGCACUGCAGCGCGAACUGGUUUCCUUGAGUACGCACAAAGUGGGCGGAAUUCGUGGUGUAGCGGUGAAAUGCUUAGAUAUCACGAAGAACUCCGAUUGCGAAGGCAGCUCACUGGAGCGCAACUGACGCUGAAGCUCGAAAGUGCGGGUAUCGAACAGGAUUAGAUACCCUGGUAGUCCGCACGGUAAACGAUGGAUGCCCGCUGUUGGUCUGAAUAGGUCAGCGGCCAAGCGAAAGCAUUAAGCAUCCCACCUGGGGAGUACGCCGGCAACGGUGCAACUCAAAGGAAUUGACGG